rnacentral:rRNA from 1 species
UCUAAGUAUAACCUGCCAGACAGGGAAACUGCGUACGGCUCAUUACACCAGCCUUAAUUUACUUGACCUUGACAACCUACUUGGAUAACUGUGGUAAUUCUAGAGCUAAUACAUGCACCAAAGCUCCGAUCCUCGCGGAGAGGAGCGCAUUUGUUCGCCACAAAACCAAGCGCCCAUCUGGGCGUCCAGUGCUGAACCAGAACAACUCAGCUGAUCGCACGGUCUUGUACCGGCGACGUGUCUUUCAAGUGUCUGCCUUAUCAACUUUCGAUGGUAGUGUACCUGACUACCAUGGUUGUGACGGGUAACGGAGGAUAAGGGUUCGACUCCGGAGAAGGGGCCUGAGAAAUGGCCACUACGUCUAAGGAUGGCAGCAGGCGCGCAAAUUACCCACUCUCAACGCGAGGAGGUAGUGACGAGAAAUAACGAGACCGUUCUCAUACGAGGCCG